UGCGUAGGUGGCGUGGAAAGUCAGAUGUGAAAUCCGGGAGCUCAACUCCCGAAUUGCAUCCGAUACUCCCAUGCUAGAGAACUGGAGGGGGAUCUGGAAUUCUCGGUGUAGCAGUGAAAUGCGUAGAUAUCGAGAGGAACACUAGUGGCGAAGGCGAGAUCCUGGACAGUUUCUGACACUGAGGCACGAAGGCUAGGGUAGCGAACG
rnacentral:rRNA from 1 species